rnacentral:tRNA from 1 species
GCCGCGUUCGUCUAGAGGCCUAGGAUAUCGCCUUCUCAGGGCGGAGAUCAGGGGUUCAAAUCCCCUACGCGGUA